GCUUGGCCCAGUCUGUCAUGUCCAUGGCAUCCUCCCAGAUCAGCACUGACACCGUCUCCUCCAUGUCUGGCUCCUACAUCGCCCCUGGCACUGAAGAGGAGGGAGAGGCUCUCUCUUCCCCCCAGCCUGCCAGCAGGGCCCCCUCAGAAGAAGGAGAGGGGCUGCCAGCGGAGUCUCCAGACAGCAACUUUGCUGGCCUCCCAGCUGGAGAGCAGGAUGCAGAGGGAAAUGAUGUUAUAGAGGAAGAGGAUGGAUCACCCACGCAGGAAGGUGAGGACGUGCGCAUUUCUAGGUAUGGAGUGUGACAAUAACAAUGACUUUGACAUCGCAAGCGUGAAAGCACUGGACAAUAAGCUGUGCUCUGAGGUCUGCUUACCUGCCGCAGCUCCGGAGUCCUGCCCCAUAAACAUUGAGGAAUAGGUGCCUGGCAGGCUGAUGACAAUGCCGUCAGUCGGAAUGCCCAGCGCCGGCGCUUGUCAUCCAGCAGCCUGGAGGACUCUGAGACGAGGCCCUGUGUGUGGGGCCCUUUGGCUGUCUGAGCCCCAGCCUCUGCACUUGGGCUCCCCUCCUGCCCUGCAUUCCAUCCAUCCUCACUCAGCUGCUGCCUACUGGGCAUCCUCAGCAAGAUGCUGGAGACUUUUUACCCUCCUGUGACAGCUGUUACAACCUGUAACCACAAUCCCUCACCUCUCAGAGGGAACUGGAACCCUCCUUUCUCCGUGUGACCUAAAGCCACUCAAUGAACUGCAGCUCACGAGACCUUUUGCAGGGACUCUGGAAUGUCCUCACGGUAUAUUGAUGUUCAGGUGGAGCUGGGGUCCAUGGGCUAAUUUCUUACACAUCUUUUUUCUCCUUAGGGGGUAGAACAAGAAGGCUUAGAGUUUGGCAGCUUUGUUACAAACAUCCCUCUGGCAUUUCCUGGUCUCUGGCACAUCAUAACCAAUUGGAAACCUGCAGUUUGGGGUAGGGCUGGAGGAUCGCUCCUGUGGAAAGGGAGAGCCAUACUGCACGGACGUAGCGUUUCCCUCUACAAGCACUAGGAGCACCUUUCUCAAGGACAAGAAAUGGUAGCAACCAAAAGGUUGGUUGAAGGAAACAAUCCUUCCUUCUGGUGGCAGAGCCAGUCUUCUGGGCCUCACAUGCCUGUGCGGUUAAGAAGGAGCUCUUGGCCGGGCGCGGUGGCUCACGCCUGUAAUCCCAGCACUUUGGGAGGCCGAGGCGGGUGGAUCAUGAGAUCAGGAGAUCGAGACCAUCCUGGCUAACACGGCGAAACCCCGUCUCUACUAAAAAUACAAAAAAUUAGCUGGGCAUGGUUGCAGGCGCCUGUAGUCCCAGCUACUUGGGAGGCUGAGGCAGGAGAAUGGCCUGAACCCGGGAGGCGGAGCUUGCAGUGAGCCGAGAUCGCGCCAAUGCACUCCAGCCUGGGCGAC
rnacentral:lncRNA from 1 species